rnacentral:rRNA from 1 species
UACAGAGGUCUCAAGCGUUGUUCGGAUUCAUUGGGCGUAAAGGGUGUGUAGGUGGCGCGCUAAGUCGGGUGUGAAAUUUCGGAGCUUAACUCCGAAACUGCAUUCGAUACUGGCGUGCUUGAGUACUGGAGAGGAGACUGGAAUUUACGGUGUAGCAGUGAAAUGCGUAGAGAUCGUAAGGAAGACCAGUGGCGAAGGCGGGUCUCUGGACAGUACCUGACACUGAGACACGAAGGCCAGGGGAGCAAACGGG